GUUACGUGCGGAUUUGCAUGUGCUUAGACAUUAAAUGACGUAUUUUUUUUUUGCAUUCAUUUCACUCAGGAGAUCAGGACGAACUAGGAAACACAAUUUGCAAAAUGUACGAAAGCAGAUUUGACAAACCCAAAAUAGGGACUAAACAAUUGCAUAACCGGCGUUAAGUAGUAGAUGUGCGUAUCAUAGUAAUCACAACACUUCACCCAUAUUUAAAAUAAAAACACAAGCCCAGUUGGAGUAUUCUGUAUGCAUUGACGAGUUCUUCAUAAAAGUCUUGAAUCAUUCAGUUACAACGUCCAAUUUGUUCAUGGGUUGGUGGAAAAUGACUUUCUUUCUCUAUCUAAAAAAUUGAGAAAUACAAUCUCAGAUAUUAUGCAAAUAAUUACAACUGCCGCAUUUAGAGCUCGUGAAGUUAAACGUGAACUCAAUCAGUCGUACUUAAUUUUAAAAAAAAUAUUAAUUUUCUACAACUUUUCAAAUGCACUGGCCUAUGGCCUACCCUGUACGAUAUAAUUUACUAUUUAUAUAUACUUCAUUAUCAGCAAAUUCAUAAAUCCAAUUUCCGCCCAUGCAAUUUUUUCGACGCUGACGCCAAAAUCAUUGAAAUUUUAGACUCAGCAUUUUGGACGUUGGAUCUAACUUGCACUUUUCGCAUCAUACCAUGAAACGUGACAGUCGCUUGUAUUCAGAAACGAAUGAUAAAGUUCGAGUAGAAAGUAUUCUGUUUGUAUUUAUCGCAGAUAUGAAACCAAAAGAAAAAUAAAAUAUCAGAUUUGUUUGAGUGAGCUGUAUCUAUUUCUGUUUGUGUACUGCAAAAAUCAUGGACUUUGCACUGAUAACUUUUAAGUGAAGCAGUCAAGCCAUUAGGAAGCAUAAGAAAAUGUCUUUUAAUUUAUUUCAAGACAUUCGAAGUUGAAAAUAUUCGCGAACUAUUUGGGAUAUAAAUAUCUUACGAUUUACGCAAAGUGCAGAGUACAAGUAUUUUGUUUUUUAUUUUGAUACGUGUUUGCGAGAGUUCUAAAAAGAGGAGGGUGAUCUAUAAAUAUUGGACAAUUUGAAAAAUGUUCGUAGAAAGCGGGCAUUGUUUGAAAGAUGGUGCACAUCCAUAUUGGUCAGCAAAAUACCGAUGGCAAGCCGAACAAACAACUUUGUUAACUGAAAUGCAGCGGCAAUGGAAGGAUAUUCACCAAAAUAUUAUUUAAAAUGUGGUACGUACCAGGAGACGUCAACGUUUUCGAGCUGUUAUAAAAAACAAAGGGGAUAACACUACAUAUUGAAAACACCUUAAUCAAAAAAAAUCCACCAUGUAUUUUUAAAAAAUUGAAUAACAUCUAAACUUUCAUUUA